UUCACACCAUUUGUGCCAGCAUUGGUAUUUCCAUUAGCUGCUUCCACAGAAAGAGGCUUUUGAUCAGCAGCUACAGAUGUGGAAUUAUCACCCUGAGGAUGGGCAGCAGAAGUUGGCGUGAAUGGCCCACUGGUUGGUGUCAACGGCUGAAAAAAGGGAGGAUACUGAUAGUGUUGAGGGCCAUACAACUGACCAUCAUUUCCCAUGGUUGGAACUGGAGAACCAGCUGGAGAGUAGGGAGCAUAGGGUGCAUAUCCAUAUCCAUGGUGAUACACCAGAGACGACCCAUUAUCCCCAUAGACUCC
rnacentral:lncRNA from 1 species